ACGUAGGGUGCGAGCGUUAAUCGGAAUUACUGGGCGUAAAGCGUGCGCAGGCGGUUGUGCAAGACAGAUGUGAAAUCCCCGGGCUCAACCUGGGAACUGCAUUUGUGACUGCACGACUGGAGUGCGGCAGAGGGGGAUGGAAUUCCACGUGUAGCAGUGAAAUGCGUAGAAAUAUGAAAGAACACCGAUGGCGAAGGCAGCCCCCUGGGCCGAUACUGACGCUCAUGCACGAAAGCGUGAGGAACAAACAG
rnacentral:rRNA from 1 species